GCUGAGAUUAAGCAGAGCAAGCUAGCUGGUGCUCCAGAAAACAGCAACCCUUCUCCAACAGUGUCCUGAGCAACCUGAACCUUCUCAUUUCUGCAUUAUUCUAUAGAUUUCUUGUUUGUUUGUUUUUUUUUACUUUGUUGGCCUGCGCUAUCAACAAUGAGCUGGACGGUGAAGACUUUCGUGCUGCUGUGCUUGUGGCAGCUUCAGGAAGGAGCACAAGCCUGCAGCUGUUUUCCAAGGCAUCCACAGGAGGCGUUUUGUCAAGCAGAAGUCGUCAUAAAGGCGACGGUUGUUGGGAAGGCUGACGUUGUCUUAAAUACUGGUGAGAAAAUGCCUGGUAUCUUCAAUCCUGGUGUCUCAAAUGUUAUCAAGUAUGACAUCAAACAGACUGAGGCAUUCAAGGGCCCAGAAAAGCUUUUUGGUUCGUCUACACUGCAAGCAACUCUGCAGCGUGUGGAGUCAAUCUGGCCAAUGGCACAGAGUAUCUAAUAUCAGGCAGACUGGACAACAAUGCUUUGCUGGAUGUCUCCUUGUGUGACUUCUUUAUGCGGUGGGAGGAC